UACGUAGGGUGCGAGCGUUGUCCGGAAUUAUUGGGCGUAAAGAGCUCGUAGGCGGUUUGUCGCGUCGGCCGUGAAAACUUGGGGCUUAACCCCAAGCCUGCGGUCGAUACGGGCAGACUUGAGUUCGGCAGGGGAGACUGGAAUUCCUGGUGUAGCGGUGAAAUGCGCAGAUAUCAGGAGGAAUACCGGUGGCGAAAGCGGUUCUCUGGGCCUUACCUGACGCUGAGGAGCGAAAGCGUGGGGAGCGAACAGG
rnacentral:rRNA from 1 species